rnacentral:rRNA from 1 species
GAUGAACGCUGGCGGCGUGCCUAAUACAUGCAAGUCGAGCGAACGGACGAGAAGCUUGCUUCUCUGAUGUUAGCGGCGGACGGGUGAGUAACGCGUGGAUAACCUACCUAUAAGACUGGGAUAACUUCGGGAAACCGGAGCUAAUACCGGAUAAUAUUUUGAACCGCAUGGUUCAAAAGUGAAAGACGGUCUUGCUGUCACUUAUAGAUGGAUCCGCGCUGCAUUAGCUAGUUGGUAAGGUAACGGCUUACCAAGGCAACGAUGCAUAGCCGACCUGAGAGGGUGAUCGGCCACACUGGAACUGAGGCACGGUCCAGACUCCUACGGGAGGCAGCAGUAGGGAAUCUUCCGCAAUGGGCGAAAGCCUGACGGAGCAACGCCGCGUGAGUGAUGAAGGUCUUCGGAUCGUAAAACUCUGUUAUUAGGGAAGAACAUAUGUGUAAGUAACUGUGCACAUCUUGACGGUACCUAAUCAGAAAGCCACGGCUAACUACGUG